rnacentral:rRNA from 1 species
AUUGAACGCUGGCGGAAUGCUUUACACAUGCAAGUCGAACGGCAGCACGGACUUCGGUCUGGUGGCGAGUGGCGAACGGGUGAGUAAUGUAUCGGAACGUGCCCAGUCGUGGGGGAUAACGUAGUGAAAAUUACGCUAAUACCGCAUACGAUCUAUGGAUGAAAGCGGGGGAUCGCAAGACCUCGCGCGAUUGGAGCGGCCGAUAUCAGAUUAGGUAGUUGGUGGGGUAAAGGCCCACCAAGCCAACGAUCUGUAGCUGGCCUGAGAGGACGACCAGCCACACUGGAACUGAGACACGGUCCAGACUCCUACGGGAGGCAGCAGUGGGGAAUUUUGGACAAUGGGCGAAAGCCUGAUCCAGCCAUCCGCGUGCAGGAUGAAGGCCCUCGGGUUGUAAACUGCUUUUGUACAGAACGAAAAGGUUUCUACUAAUACUAGGAGCUCAUGACGGUACUGUAAGAAUAAGCACCGGCUAACUACGUGCCAGCAGCCGCGGUAA